rnacentral:rRNA from 1 species
CCUACGGGUGGCAGCAGUGGGGAAUUUUGCGCAAUGGGGGAAACCCUGACGCAGCAACGCCGCGUGCGGGACGAAGGCCCUCGGGCUGUAAACCGCUUUCAGCAGGGAAGACGUCGACGGGACGUGCAGAAGAAGAUCCGGCUAACUACGGACAAGCAGCCGCGGUAAUACGUAGGGGGCGAGCGUUAUACGGAUUCAUUGGGCGUAAAGCGCGCGUAGGCGGCCGGCUAAGCGGAAGCGAUAACCCCGGGGCUCACCCUCGGGCCGGGUUCCGGACUGGGCGGCUUGAGUGCGGUAGAGGAGAGCGGAAUUCCCGGUGUAGCGGUGGAAUGCGCAGAUAUCGGGAAGAACACCGAUGGCGAAGGCAGCUCUCUGGGCCGUCACUGACGCUGAGGCGCGAAAGCUUGGGGAGCGAACAGGAUUAGAUACCCGUGUAGUC